UUUUAGCCCCGAUAGAAGUGAAAAUCCUUUUUUGUUUUUUCUUUAAAAACAUAAAAGAUUGUAGCGGAUAGCGGGAAACAGC
rnacentral:sRNA from 1 species